rnacentral:rRNA from 1 species
UGAGAGGACGAUCAGCCACACUGGGACUGAGAUACGGCCCAGACUCCUACGGGGGGCAGCAGCAAGGAAUAUUGGACACUGGGCGAAAGCCUGAUGCAGCAACGCCGCGUGCGGGAUGACGCCUUACGGGGUGUAAACCGCUGCACGGGGGGACGAAAUCAGACGGUACCUCCGUAGCAAAGUCUCGGCUAACUCCGUGCCAGCAGCCGCGGUAAGACGGAGGAGACGAGCGUUAUCCGGAUUUACUGGGCGUAAGGGCUCGUAGGGGGUGGCCUACGGGCGUCGUGGAAGCCCCGUGCUCAACGCGGGGAGGUCGGCGCCGACGGGGUCACUGGAGGCUGGCAGAGGCGCGCGGAACGGCGGGGGGAGUGGUGGCAUACGUAGAGCCCCGUCGGAACACCGGUAGCGAAGGCGGCGCGCUGGACCAGACCUGACCCUGAGGAGCGAAAGGGUGGGGCGCGAACGGACUUAGAUACUCCGGUAGUCCACCCCCUGACCGAUGGCCACUGGGUGUCGCGGGUAUCGACCCCUGCGGUGCCGGCGCCGACGCAGUAAGUGGCCCGCCUGGGGACUACGGUCGCAAGACUAAAACUCAAAGGAAUUGACGGGGGCCCGCACAAGCAGCGGAGCGUGUGGUUCAAUUCGACGCAACGCGCAGAACCUUACCUGGGCUGGACUACGGGGUGGUAGGGGGCCGAAAGGCGCCCGACCCGCCAGGGAGCCCCGCCAGAUGCUGCAUGGCUGUCGUCAGCUCGUACCGUGAGGUGUUGGGUUAAGUCCCGCAACGAGCGCAACCCUCGGGGGCAGUUGCUUUUUCUGCCCCGACUGCCGGACGAACUCCGGAGGAAGGUGGGGAUGACGUCAAGUCCGCAUGGCUCAUACGCCCAGGGCUACACACACGCUACAAUGGCGUCGCCAAUAGGUGGCCACCCCGUGAGGGGGCGCGAAUCCUCCAACCGACGUCUCAGUGGGGAUGGCAGGCUGCAACUCGCCUGCCUGAACGUGGAGUUGCUAGUAACCGCCGGUCAGCAUACGGCGGUGAAUACCGUUCCCGGGCCUUGUACACACCGCCCGUCACACCACGAAAGCGGGC